UGGGGAAUAUUGCACAAUGGGCGCAAGCCUGAUGCAGCCAUGCCGCGCGUGUGAAGAAGGCCUUCGGGUUGUAAAGCACUUUCAGCGGGGAGGAAGGCGUUAAGGUUAAUAACCUUGGCGAUUGACGUUACCCGCAGAAGAAGCACCGGCUAACUCCGUGCCAGCAGCCGCGGUAAUACGGAGGGUGCAAGCGUUAAUCCGAAUUACUGGGCGUAAAGCGCACGCAGGCGGUCUGUCAAGUCGGAUGUGAAAUCCCCGGGCUCAACCUGGGAACUGCAUUCGAAACUGGCAGGCUAGAGUCUUGUAGAGGGGGGUAGAAUUCCAGGUGUAGCGGUGAAAUGCGUAGAGAUCUGGAGGAAUACCGGUGGCGAAGGCGGCCCCCUGGACAAAGACUGACGCUCAGGUGCGAAAGCGUGGGG
rnacentral:rRNA from 1 species